rnacentral:lncRNA from 1 species
CCACACACAAUCUCAAAAACCCUUCAUACAAAACUAUCCGAAUAGAGAUAUGAAUAAGGCAUCUAUGAAGCUGGUUGUUUUGUUCGUGCUCCUAAAUUUCAUCGGAGGUACUUAGUUUUUGUGUUUGGAUACUAAUAAUAAUCGUUCGAAAAAUGUUAAUCCGAUUUUUAAAAUAUUAUAUAAAUACAAUUGGGAUGCGAUUGGUUGUAGGUGAGGCGUCCAACAUUAGAACAGAAGCAAGAGUCGACGAAAUCGAGAUAUUAUGCAGAAGACAGUGUCCUUUUCCAAUAUGUCGUUGCAUAAACGGGAACUGUAUUUGCCCCAAGGACUCGCCGGUGACAUCUUCCACGAAGAUGUCGAAAGUCGGAGAGGAAGGAGCUAGAUUAGAUGGUCGUUAUAUAAGGUUUUGCAGCGCUAAUAACUGUCCACCCCCAUGUCAUUGCGACCCUUAUGAUUGCGCAUGCCCCAACCAAUAGAUUGACGCUCAUUAUUCAUCUCUUUCUUUUUAAUGAUUUUUACGUUUAACUCAAGUAUUAAUAAUAAUUCGGAAAAUAAAUGAAAUAUUAAUGUUUUAGUACAAUGGUA